UUGCACGCUGGCGGCAUGCCUUACCCAUGCCAGUCGCACGGCAGCACGGGUGCUUGCACCUGGUGGCGAGUGGCGAACGGGUGAGUAAUACAUCGGAACAUGUCCUGUAGUGGGGGAUAGCCCGGCGAAAGCCGGAUUAAUACCGCAUACGAUCUACGGAUGAAAGCGGGGGACCUUCGGGCCUCGCGCUAUAGGGUUGGCCGAUGGCUGAUUAGCUAGUUGGUGGGGUAAAGGCCUACCAAGGCGACGAUCAGUAGCUGGUCUGAGAGGACGACCAGCCACACUGGGACUGAGACACGGCCCAGACUCCUACGGGAGGCAGCAGUGGGGAAUUUUGGACAAUGGGCGAAAGCCUGAUCCAGCAAUGCCGCGUGUGUGAAGAAGGCCUUCGGGUUGUAAAGCACUUUUGUCCGGAAAGAAAUCCUUGGCCCUAAUACGGUCGGGGGAUGACGGUACCGGAAGAAUAAGCACCGGCUAACUACGUG
rnacentral:rRNA from 1 species